ensembl:snoRNA
CCUGCUCCUAGAAGCAUUGUAGUUGUGGCUGCUAUGUCGAAUGUGUGUCAGUAGGUGGCAGAGAGGAGAGAAGCUACGUCUAAGCUCAGUGUUCUGACCUAUGAACAUCUGCAUCAUUAGUGAAAAA